GGAGGAUUAGCUCAGCUAGGAGAGCACCUGCCUUACAAACAGGGGUCGGCGGUUCCGAACCCGUCAUCCUCCACCA
rnacentral:tRNA from 1 species